UACAGAGGGGGCAAGCGUUGUUCGGAAUUACUGGGCGUAAAGGGCGCGUAGGCGGCCUUCUAAGUCGAACGUGAAAUCCCCGGGCUCAACCCCGGAACGGCAUCCGAUACGGGGCGGCUCGAGACCGAGAGAGGUGAGUGGAAUACCCAGUGUAGAGGUGAAAUUCGUAGAUAUUGGGUGGAACACCGGUGGCGAAAGCGGCUCACUGGCUCGGUUCUGACGCUGAGGCGCGAAAGCGUGGGGAGCAAACGGG
rnacentral:rRNA from 1 species